rnacentral:tRNA from 1 species
UGAUAAAAAAAGGAAUUGAAGCUCUAUAAAUAGGACUACAGCCUACUGCC